UGACGAUGACAACAGAGUUAAAGACAGAACUAGUGGUAACACUAGACUAGGCAGCCCACAGGUACACGGGUGCGGACCCCACUCCCCACAGGUACACGGGUGCGGACCCCACUCCCCACAGGCACACGGGUGCGGACCCCACUCCCCACAGGAACACGGGUGCGGACCCCACUCCCCACAGGCACACGGGUGCGGACCCCACUCCCCACAGGUACACGGGUGCGGACCCCACUCCCCACAGGCACACGGGUGCGGACCCCACUCCCCACAGGCACACGGGUGCGGACCCCACUCCCCACAGGUACACGGGUGCGGACCCCACUCCCCACAGGCACACGGGUGCGGACCCCACUCCCCACAGGUACACGGGUGCGGACCCCACUCCCCACAGGCACACGGGUGCGGACCCCACUCCUGCCACAGUUUCUGAGUUCCACCUGGAUUUCAUGGAGCUUGAGUUCCAGAGGAGCUCUGGUCCCUAGC